GGGGGCGUAUUGGAUUUCGACGGGGAAUUUGCAGCGAGAGCAGCGGGUAGUGGUGAGGCACCACUUAAAAAGCUUCACAAAAAUAAACGCUAAUCGUAACACAUUAGUAGCUGCUUAAUUAAGUAGCCGUCAUGCCCGGUUUUCUAUCGGCUGGGGUCAUGGCGUCAUGCAGAUAGAGCACGUGAACAGGGCAAAGCUUUGCGUCCUGUCAUGAUUUUAUGAAGCUACUGAUGAUGCGGCCUGUUUGUCGGCUUGCAUCAAAGGGAAUGUUGUAGAUAAACUACGCUCGUAGAUACUGUCGUGAAUUAUUUUUCGGACACGGGUUCAACUCCCGUCGCCUCCACCA
rnacentral:tmRNA from 1 species